ACCUAAUGAACUCUUCAGCUCGUUCUAGCCGGAUAUGUGAACAUUGCAAGGACCAGAAUGCAAGCCUCCUGGUGUCCUCGAUGUCACAGUCAGAGCCCAGGACCCUCAUGGGUAUUCCACACCCGUCAACUAACUUAGACUGCUGUCCACCACCCCUCCCCACCUCUGCUGACAAGAGCUCUGGCUGCUCAGCCGGGGAUGGGAUUACAACGAAGCCUUCUCAGGGAGUGGCUGUGAGGAUGGAAUGAGGCAAUGACUGAUCUCCAUGUCUCCGUGCUUCUUAGUUCUUCCUUCCAAGGCUACCAGCGUGGCCUAUGGGGCCAGACUGCUUGGAUUUAAAUACUGGGGCUACCACUUAGAGUUUUGUGUCUUUGGGUAAGUUAUUUAACCUCUCUGUCUUAGUUCCU